rnacentral:rRNA from 1 species
CGUCCGAGUUGUAAUCUGGAGAAGCGUUUUCAGUACCGGCCCGCGUACAAGUCCCCUGGAACGGGGCGUCGCAGAGGGUGAGAAUCCCGUCUUUGACGCGGUCUGCCCGGUGCCAUGCGAUGCGCUCUCGAAGAGUCGAGUUGUUUGGGAAUGCAGCUCAAAAAGGGUGGUAAAUUCCAUCUAAAGCUAAAUACUGGCGAAAGACCGAUAGCGAACAAGUACCGUGAGGGAAAGAUGAAAAGCACUUUGGAAAGAGAGUCAAACAGUACGUGAAAUUGUUGAAAGGGAAACGCUUGAAGUCAGUCGCGUCUCCCGGGAUUCAGCAGGUUCCUUCGCGGGACAGGCGCAUUUCCCGGGGUUUUGACGGGCCAGCGUCGAUUUCGACCGUCGUAAAAAGGCGAAGAGGAACGUGGCACCUUUCGGGGUGUGUUAUAGCCUCGCGUCGUAUGCGAACGGUUUAGGGAUCGAGGAACGCAGCGCGCCUUUUUCAUUAAGGGCCGGGGUUCGCCCACGUAACGCGCUUAGGACGCUGGCGUAAUGGCUUUAAGCGACCCGUCUUGAAACACGGACCAAGGAGUCUAACAUGCU